CCUGACUGAAUAUGGAGUUGAAAUGGCUUGAAUUUACUGUAGGACCAUCUCAGCCUACUGAGACAUUGGCCUUGGAUGGCCAACAGGGAAACCAACACUGGCAUUGCUCAGCUCAGCCCCAAAAUGGCUAACUCCGAGCACAGAAACCCAGGAGAUUGAUUCCUGCCCAAAAACGGAGAAGAACCCCAUCUCCAUUCCCAAUGCCUUAGUGUAUUACAGCAUUAUUGCUAGCAAAUUCUGGCUUUAAAAGAGAAGGGCAUUUCCAGGGAAAUACCCUGCCAGUCAGCUUAACCAAUACAGGGUUUACAGUUUCCCAGUCCUACUCAGUGAUGUCACAUCACCUCAGUUGUGAUACGUUUGGCACUGUGACCUCCAGCCAAGGAUCUCAGAACACUUCUUAAUGCAUUAUAUUAUUAUUCUCAUUAUUUGCAUUACCAUAGUGUCUCGAUGUCCUAGUCAUGGGCCGGGAGCCCACUGAAUUAAAUAAUUAAAACCCACACAGUCCUUUGCCAUGUAGGUGAGUGUCAUUUUCUCUAUUUUACAAAAGAUCCAGCUGAGACACCAUAUGGUGAAGUGACUUGCCCAAAGCAACACAGCUGAGCGAGGAACAGAACCAAGAAUUGAACCCCGGAGUCCUGCUCUAACUAAGACAACCCUGACACCUAAGGUGCUGCAGUCUGGUUUCCCAGCCCCUCCACCCCAUUACAAGACCCUGCAGAAGACCAGAGCACCUUCAAUACCUCAGUGGGAGAGAGCCUGCUCCUCUGAACCUCAUGCAGCUAUAAUUGACGAGAUCUCCUGCCCUGUAAGAACCUCUACAUGGAGCAGAGGGCUCAACUAACCCAGCCCAAGUGAAAUUGACUGGAAACAGACAGGCACAAUGUGAUAAUGGCGUCAUAAGCCGCAAGGAAGUGAACUCCAAGGAACAGAGAAAUGAAGGGAUUUUUGUCAUAGGUACUGAACAGAAAUGCUGCUUGAACAGUUGGGAGAAAAGGUCUCUAAAUAGUUCCCCAGGUUGCAAUUUGUUGCUCCUCCAAGGAGAGUGCCACCAAAACCAGACUUUAUUUUUAAGUGAAAACAAUGAAAAGCGGGGUUUUUCUGAGGGCACGAGGGGAACUUUCAGGCCCUCCAGCUCUGUCAUCAAGAAGCAAAAGAAUCUCUUUUCUUGCAAGUCACUUUGGAAAAGGAGAAUGGACUGAUUGGAGACGUUUUUCUGUCUGCUAUUUUAUGUUUUAUGAAUAUUGGCUAGUGUGCAAUGAUUCCUGCACUGGUAACUGAUGUUAAUACAACAUACACCAGGAUGAAAUAUUUUCAGGAUAUGUUCCACUCUCCAGGCCAAGCAUGGACUUCUGUCAGAGUAGAUACGAUACCUAAGAGGGCUAUAUGAGGCUGCAAUAACGGUUAUUAGAGCACUAGAGGGUCUCCAAAUGGAUGAGAUGAACAAAGUGCCAUUGAGACAGUCCUGGAGUCUUCACUUUCCAGCUGCCCUGCAGGGAAGAAUUUGAUCCAGUGGAUGCUAGGUCUCCAGGAUUGCUUUAUUAACAAAGCAAAACAGGAACUUUACUGGGUCGCAGUCCAAAAUACACAUCAAUCAUUAGGCAAACAGCACCCAACCACCUCCCCAAGACAGCACUGUGAUGUUUUCAUGGCACCUAAAAUCAUUUGGAAGGAUGAUUUUACAAACAGACGGGGAAUUGAGAUCCUGGUUGCAUUUUCCCUAACACACAAAUUCUGUUGUUGCUGGAAUGCUGUCUUAGUUACAGGGCUUUGGGGUUUUUUAUUUUAAUUCAGGCAGAUCAGUAUGGGGGAGUUGUCUAUUAAUAGGUGUUCCAGGAAGCUUAAGCAACUCAAGCAGAAGAAAACCAAAAGAAACUAAAGAGGUUCUGAUGGAAGAAUGUGCUGAAAUCAAAUGGGGCUUAAUUAGGAGAACAUGACUUUCCUAUUAAUGCUCCCCAUCCAUGUGACACAGGGAAAGAGAGAGGAAAAAAACUGCCAAAGAGCUUAUUUGUUUUGCAAUUACCGAUGAAAUAAAAAAUUACUUGGUCUAAUUAGACCUCUUUUAGUAAGAGAACCAUGCAAAAUAAA